GGGGAUUUAGCUCAGCGGCUUAAGCAUCUGCCUUGCAAGCAGGCGGUGGUCGUGAGUUCAAUCCCCG
rnacentral:tRNA from 1 species